UGGGGAAUAUUGCACAAUGGGCGCAAGCCUGAUGCAGCCAUGCCGCGUGUAUGAAGAAGGCCUUCGGGUUGUAAAGUACUUUCAGCGAGGAGGAAGGCGUUGUGGUUAAUAACCGCAACGAUUGACGUUACUCGCAGAAGAAGCACCGGCUAACUCCGUGCCAGCAGCCGCGGUAAUACGGAGGGUGCAAGCGUUAAUCGGAAUUACUGGGCGUAAAGCGCACGCAGGCGGUCUGUCAAGUCGGAUGUGAAAUCCCCGGGCUCAACCUGGGAACUGCAUCCGAAACUGGCAGGCUAGAGUCUUGUAGAGGGGGGUAGAAUUCCAGGUGUAGCGGUGAAAUGCGUAGAGAUCUGGAGGAAUACCGGUGGCGAAGGCGGCCCCCUGGACAGAGACUGACGCUCAGGUGCGAAAGCGUGGGGAGCAAACA
rnacentral:rRNA from 1 species